rnacentral:rRNA from 1 species
UGGGGGAUAUUGCACAAUGGAGGAAACUCUGAUGCAGCAACGCCGCGUGAGGGAAGAAGGAUUUCGGUUUGUAAACCUCUGUCAUUGGUGACGAUAAUGACGGUAGCCGAUGAGGAAGCUCCGGCUAACUACGUGCCAGCAGCCGCGGUAAUACGUAGGGAGCGAGCGUUGUCCGGAAUUACUGGGUGUAAAGGGUGCGUAGGCGGGGGACCAAGUCAGGUGUGAAAACUAUCGGCUUAACCGGUAGCCUGCACUUGAAACUGGCCCUCUUGAGUGAAGUAGAGGCAGGCGGAAUUCCCGGUGUAGCGGUGAAAUGCGUAGAGAUCGGGAGGAACACCAGUGGCGAAGGCGGCCUGCUGGGCUUUAACUGACGCUGAGGCACGAAAGCAUGGGUAGCAAACAGG